rnacentral:lncRNA from 1 species
CUUUGAAAUAUCUAUGGGUCAUAGAACCAAAUACAACGGCAAACUCCGAAUCUGCGCACUUAUCUGACCUGCUCUUGGCCAUUGACCAGCUCCUCCAUUCCUGUACUCUUCACUAAAUCAUGUGACUUACUUCUGCAUGCUCCAGUUAAGCAUCUAACAUUGGUCGAACAUUUUGUGAGUGAUUGCUGUCUUCUUGCUGUUGUGAUCGUCUUUUCCAAACAUGAGU